CACCAAUGGCUGCAAUCUCUGAUGUCGGAUGGAUGAGCAUCCAUUCGAUACUCUGACAAGCUCGUUGUGUUCAACAAAGUGACUCGAGUCUUCAUCUGCUUUAGGACCUCCUCUACAAUUACAUCUUUCUCGUUUACAAUUCCUGAAGGUUGGAGGAGGGGCUCACUAACUCCUACACAACUCUGCCGUAAAUUCCAUUUUCCUCCGCUGUGAUCAAUCAACAAUUUUACAAAUUAACCACUCAUUAAUAAAUUGUCAUGUAAGAACACCAAUACACGUACUACUUCGAUCAACAUUAAAUAAUUAGAUAACCUGAAGUGCGUUGGCGAUGAAGUUCGAAAGAAAACUUGAGUUUUGCUUGGAUUGAUGUAAUUGUCAACCCAUGAUGCCCACGUCAUCAAACCCUUUCUGAGAGCUGUGAGAACAUCAAGAUAUGGAUGAAUUUUUUCACCUUCCUGGAAGAAAUUAACCCUGCAAAUGCAAUGCAUGCAGUCAUAAGUACUCAAGCUCCAAAUGUCAGGAUAAUCCCAAUUUAAGAAAUUUAAUUUAAUUAUCAGACACAAUUAAAACGAUCGAGUUAACAUAGCUCAGUUGUUCUAAGGGGUGGGCACAACUAAAAGUCAUUCAUAUAUUAGUGGAGCUUACCCGGCAUUAGUUUUGAAUUCGACCCACCAAUGUUCGGUGUUGAAUACCAAAAUAUCAGCUUCUCUCCAUCGAUGUGAACCGUGAUCAAUGGAAUCAAUUCGCAAGGACGUUUGCUCCUGCUUCUGGUCUACUCUUGUCAUGACUUGUUCAACCAAGAAAACGGACGGAUAGAAUUCAACUUUACACUGGUAAUCCUGUGAAAAAAAGAAAGUACGUACAUCAGAAAUUUAAAUACAUACAACAUUCUAAAUAUUUAUUAACCUUAAAUGAAACGGCAAUGUAAAUAUAGCAAUAUAGCAUAGAGAAGAGAAGAAUAUACAAAGAAGGGAAAGUGAAAUAUUUUCCGCACAUUCAUUUUCCCGUUCUUCACACACUUGUUUAUUUUGUCCCUUGAUUAUCCUCUAAUUUAUUCAAUCCAAGUGUCAGAAAUAAACAUGGGAGUGCAUGGGGAGAAAAUAGGUUUGCGGGAAUCAAUUUCCUGUGAAGAAUUACCACAAAGACGACACUAUAGCUUCCUUUCUUUCUGAUGAAUCUGGGCUUAUUUGGAUUUCUUUUAUCUCCGACAAGCAUGCACACCAUAGAUUGCCAUUGAUUCUUAUUGAUUGAAUCGCCCACAAACACUAGCCUCUUCCCUCUGAUAAAUUCUAGCAUUUUUCUUGCGUCGAACCUAUACAUGCAUACAUAAUUAAAAUCCCAAUUAGCUAGCUAGCUUAAUCAAAUUGAAAUAGUGAUGAAGAACUAAUUAGAAGGUUACCUUGGAAUGUCACAAUCUUGUGGUUGCCAUCUCCACUUAGUGAAGUUUUUGUCUAAUCUCCCAUUACAACUAAAACCUUCUUCUAUGAACAGACAUGAACGACUUGUGUACAACGGAUAGCUCUCGUCUUCGACCCACCUCCCUCUUGUACUAAAAUCACAUCCUCCUAAUUUAGCUAUUUUCUUGUUUUCUUCGACCAACAGCGGUCCGCUACUUGAAAUUUGAGUCAUCUGAUCAAAUGAAGUUGCUCUGGCCUUCUUCUUCUUUCUACUUUUAGCUUGAACCGUUUUUUCACUCAAUGCAGCUGCAUUUUGCUGUUCCGUCUUGUUCAUCAAAAUUGGAGCAUCUUGCUGUUCCGUCUUGUUCAUCAAAAUUGGAGCAUUUUGCUCUUCAGUCUUGUUCAUCAACGGUGCAUUUUGCUUCUCGGUUGUGUUUGCCAACGGCGCAGUUUGCUCUUCAUGAGUGCGGUUCAAUGGAGCAUUUUGCUCUACAGUCGUGUUCACGGAUGGAACAUUUUGUUCUUCAUGAGUAUUUGUCUCAAUCUUGUCAAUUAAGAUUGCAGCUGAUGGAAUUUGUUCUGCCGGCACUGCUGUGAAGUUACUAUCAAUAAUAAUAUCAGACUCGCUGGCGCCUCCGUCUUCAUUUUUGACAUGUAAAUCAUUUUGUGCGCCCACUGCUUGGGAUACCCUCAAAUGAAGAUAUAACAAUUCAUUCCAUACAUCAGGAAUGCCAGGAAGGCACCAAUGGCUGCAAUCUCUGAUGUCGGAUGGAUGAGCAUCCAUUCGAUACUCUGACAAGCUCGUUGUGUUCAACAAAGUGACUCGAGUCUUCAUCUGCUUUAGGACCUCCUCUACAAUUACAUCUUUCUCGUUUACAAUUCCUGAAGGUUGGAGGAGGGGCUCACUAACUCCUACACAACUCUGCCGUAAAUUCCAUUUUCCUCCGCUGUGAUCAAUCAACAAUUUUACAAAUUAACCACUCAAUAAAUUGUCAUGUAAGAACACCAAUACACGUACUACUUCGAUCAACAUUAAAUAAUUAGAUAACCUGAAGUGCGUUGGCGAUGAAGUUCGAAAGAAAACUUGAGUUUUGCUUGGAUUGAUGUAAUUAUCAACCCAUGAUGCCCACGUCAUCAAACCCUUUCUGAGAGCUGUGAGAACAUCAAGAUAUGGAUGAAUUUUUUCACCUUCCUGGAAGAAAUUAACCCUGCAAAUGCAAUGCAUGCAGUCAUAAGUACUUAAGCUCCAAAUGUCAGGAUAAUCCCAAUUUAAGAAAUUUAAUUUAAUUAUCAGACACAAUUAAAACGAUCGAGUUAACAUAGCUCAGUUGUUCUAAGGGGUGGGCACAACUAAAAUUCAUUCAUUUAUUAAUGGAGCUUACCCGGCAUUAGUUUUGAAUUCGACCCACCAAUGUUCGGUGUUGAAUACCAAAAUAUCAGCUUCUCUCCAUCGAUGUGAACCGUGAUCAAUGGAAUCAAUUCGCAAGGACGUUUGCUCCUGCUUCUGGUCUACUCUUGUCAUGACUUUUUCAACCAAGAAAACGGACGGAUAGAAUUCAACUUUACACUGGUAAUCCUGUGAAAAAAAAGAAAGUACGUACAUCAGAAAUUUAAAUACAUACAACAUUCUAAAUAUUUAUUAACCUUAAAUGAAACGGCAAUGUAAAUAUAGCAAUAUAGCAUAGAGAAGAGAAGAAUAUACAAAGAAGGGAAAGUGAAAUAUUUUCCGCACAUUCAUUUUCCCGUUCUUCACACAUUUGUUUAAUUUGUCCCUUGAUUAUCCUCUAAUUUAUUCAAUCCAAGUGUCAGAAAUAAACAUGGGAGUGCAUAGGGGGAAAAUAGGUUUGCGGGAAUCAAUUCCCUGUGAAGAAUUACCACAAAGACGACACUAUAGCCUCCUCUCUUUCUGAUGAAUCUGGGCUUAUUUGGAUUUCUUUUAUCUCCGACAAGCAUGCACACCAUAGAUUGCCAUUGAUUCUUAUUGAUUGAAUCGCCCACAAACACUAGCCUCUUCCCUCUGAUAAAUUCAAGCAUUUUUCUUGCGUCGAACCUAUACAUCCAUACAUAAUUAAUUAAAAUCCCAAUUAGCUAGCUAGCUUAAUCAAAUUGAAAUACAUAAUUAAAAUCCCAAUUAGCUAACUAGCUUAAUCAAAUUGAAUAGUGAUGAAGAACUAAUUAGAAAGUUACCUUGGAAUGUCACAAUCUUGUGGUUGCCAUCUCCACUUAGUGAAGUUUUUGUCUAAUCUCCCAUUACAACUAAAACCUUCUUCUAUGAACGGACAUGAACGACUUGUGUACAACGGAUAGCUCUCGUCUUCGACCCACCUCCCUCUUGUACUAAAAUCACAUCCUCCUAAUUUAGCUAUUUUCUUGUCUUCUUCGACCAACAGCGGUCCGCUACUUGAAAUUUGAGUCAUCUGAUCAAAUGAAGUUGCUCUGGCCUUCUUCUUCUUUCUACUCUUAGCUUGAACCGUUUUUUCACUCAAUGCAGCUGCAUUUUGCUGUUCCGUCUUGUUCAUCAAAAUUGGAGCAUUUUGCUCUUCAGUCUUGUUCAUCAACGGUGCAUUUUGCUCCUCGGUUGUGUUUGCCAACGGCACAGUUUGCUCUUCAUGAGUGCGGUUCAAUGGAGCAUUUUGCUCUACAGUCGUGUUCACGGAUGGAACAUUUUGGUCGUCAUGAGUAUUUGUCUCAAUCUUGUCAAUUAAGAUUGCAGCUGGUGGAAUUUGUUGUGCCGGCACUGCUGUGAAGUUACUAUCAAAAAUAAUAUCUAACUCACGGCUGCCGCUGUCUUCUUCUUCUUCUUCUUCUUCUUCUUCGUCAUCAUGUAACUCAUGUUGCAGUACUGCCACUGCUUGGGCUUCGUUCUCAAAAUAGCUAGAAGAAGCAUUUUCAGGUGUACUGGAAGGGGUGUCCGUCAACUUCAAGACUGAUAAAUCUUUCGAAGGACUAUUUUCUGUAACGGAAACAUUAUUUUUAUCGAUAAAAUCAUCUCCGGUAGUUAAAUUAGUUGGAUGAUCAGCAGCUGGAAGAGGUGGAACUGUGGCGGCUAAGGGUGAUGGUGUGAAACCGAAAACGAUGGAGGAUGUGUUGAAAUACUCGAGACAAUUGGUGGUUUGUUGGGCGGGCAAUGGAAUGUUGGAAGGAGAGGAUAUGUUGACCCAAAUGAGAACGAAAGAGAGAAAGAUGAUAGAGGAAGCGAUGCUAAAAUAAAAAACUAAGGAUGUAGUUGGUAAUGUAAUGGAAAAAAUACUGAGCUGCGGCCUCUUCAUAACUAAACGUACGUACUCUCCUCAGCUUUUUUCUUCAAUGGAAAAAAGGAGUCAAUGGGAAGGAGGUCUUCAGUGAGAUUUCGUAGGUGUCUGUCUGUGUGUGUUUGAUCAAUGUGCCUACUAGCUAUAGAGGAAGACACAAAUAAUUCAGAAAAAAAAUUCUUCUAGUAUGCUGAGUUGCUGAAUGUGAGUUGUUCAUGAAAAACCAUCUCGUCACUUGAGUUGUAAAAGACGUUAGGCGCAAAUUGGGUGGCAGACUGGAGCCUAGCGCCUAGGUGACUAGGUGGCUUAGACGGAUUUAAAUAAACUUAUUAUAUGUCAAAUAAAUAAUUAUGUUGGGAUACAUAAAUUGAAAAAUAUAAUGAAAUAUAGAUUAGAAAGUAUUAGAAUAUAUUGAAAACAUGGGGAAUUAGAAUACAAUGAGUGUUCAUCGAAGUAUUUAACAACUAUCUUACAAUUUAUUUAUAAAAAAAUGCAAAAUAAAAGUUAUGUAUUUUAUAUCUAAGUGAGAGUGACGACCUAAGUGGGUGCCUAGGGGGGGUUGCUAAACGGAUCUAGUUGGAUGCUUAAGUAAGUCUAAGUACCAUUUUUUAAUUUUCAAAUACAUAAGAAUUAAUCGGAAUUGUAGCCAGCCAUCUAGCGCUGUUAUAUGUAAGAAGGGCUUGGGAUUUAGAGAUAGCGUUGUAGGUAA
rnacentral:lncRNA from 1 species